GGGGGCGCACCGGGUUCGACUGGAGUCGACGCCAUGCCGUAGCGUGCCGCGGAUGCUCGUUUGCCGCGUUAUCAAACGGGCGCCAACAACAAACGCGAACAACGAUUUCGCACUUGCUGCCUAAUCUAGGCUAGCACGUUUCACCUCUGCGCGGCCCGUCGCGGGGGAUGAAACGCCAUUCAACGGGCUGGCCCUGCCGUUCCGCCUUUCGGCGGCAGGGCGAGACAUCGAGAGGCUCGCUCCGCGGUGGCCUGUCAGCGGGCAGCCAAAGGGUUAAAACGCAUUCACUGACUACGCAUGUAGAAGCGGCAUGGAUAGAUGUUCAGGACAGGGGUUCGAUUCCCCUCGCCUCCACCA
rnacentral:tmRNA from 1 species